rnacentral:rRNA from 1 species
UACGUAGGGUGCAAGCGUUGUCCGGAAUUAUUGGGCGUAAAGAGCUCGUAGGCGGUCUGUCGCGUCGAAUGUGAAAACCCGGGGCUCAACCCCGGGCCUGCAUUCGAUACGGGCAGACUAGAGUUCGGUAGGGGAGUCUGGAAUUCCUGGUGUAGCGGUGAAAUGCGUAGAUAGUCGGGAGGAACACCUGAGGCGAAGGCGGGCUACUGGGCCGAUACCGACGCUGAUGUGCGAAAGCCAGGGGAGCGAACGGG